CUAUUUACUUUGUAUUUUUUUGAUUUUUUUUGGAAUUGGAUCCUUUUUAUGCUAUUUUUAUAAUUUGUGUUCUUAAUUGUUUGAUCAAAUGUGGGUUAUUUUGGUUUAAUUGAAAGAAUUGUGAGUAUGUAGUGAAUCAUGAAAAAUGCAUCUACAAGAAGAAAUUGUAGAGAAUGGUUUUGUAUGGAUAUUGGAUUUGAAUUUUGAAUGUGAGGUGUUACCAGGAAAAUGGGGGAUUAUGUUUGGAUAUUAUGAACUAGGGAGUAAAUAAGUCAAAAUUCGAAUUUCGUCUUUGUUAUUCUUCGAAUUUUAUAUGUUGUUAUUGUUGUAUUUGUUAUAUAUACUACUAGAUUUCACAUUCGAUGAUUAUAUUUAAGUGGGAAAUGGUAUAUAUAUAGUCUGUUUUUCAACCAAUUAAAUUGGAUGGAUAUAAUGAGUUUGGUUUUCAUAAUUUUAUUGUGAAAGAUCUAAAAUUUGUUGAUUUUUUUGGGGUUUUUAGGGUUAGGGUUUAAUUUCUUUGGCUUGUUGAUGGAUGAUGCUAUGUCCCUGUUGCCCUGACCUCUAGCUCUCUUUGUUGGUGUCUUGGUGUAUUGCUGCUGCUUUAUAAAGUUGUUGUUGCGGAACUCUGAUUCUGAUACCCUGUUGUCUUGAGUUGCUGCCACUUUGCCGUACUGGUUGCUUCUGCUGAGAUGGCAGCCUGUUUGCUGAAAUCAAUAACUUUAUGCAUGUUCAUCCCAAGUUCCUUCAUUCAAAUGCCACAUCUUAUAAAUGGGAUUUUGGAGCUAUUGCCAAACUUUUUGACAAGGAACUUGAUGAGGUAAUCUUUUCAGAUGCAAAAAUUGUCCUUUUCCUGCCAUAUUGGCAGUUGUGGCUUGCGUUGUUCCUUGCUCGACAAAAGUGCUGCAUUACAUCUUGUCUUUUCAAAGGUUAGUGAAUUUGAAUUGGAAUUUCAAGAUGGAAAAUGUAUAUUUUUGGUGAGUAUAGGUGCUGAAUAGUUAAAUGACGGUGUGGGUUAUAGUGGACAGAUUGAUGGUGUUUUAGAUAUGAGAUGUUGUUAUAGCAUAGCUUGUAGUUUCAAUUUCUAUUCUACUUACGCAUCUACUAAUUUUAAUUUGUGACUAAAACUUUUUUUGUUGGAGUUUGGAGAUUAAUGAAAAAAAAUUCAAUUUUAGCAAACUAUUUAUAACUUAAUUUACUGUAUUUUAUUAAGUGUGUUUAUUUUAAGCAAUAAUGAAAUUAUUUAUUUUUUAGAAAAUAAUUAAAUCACUAUUAAAAAAGUUGGCGGUGAACAACAUUUUAUAGCGGUUCUAAUUUGCUGUAAUUGCAAACUUUGAACUGCAUCCUAAAAGUACAUUUUAUAGCAGUUUUAUGAACAGCUAUUGAAAGUGUCAUUUUCAUUUUACGGCAGAGCCAUUAAUAGCGGCCCAAAAACCGCUAUAAAAAGAAAAUUGAACCGCUAUAAAAUGUAAUUUCUGUUGUACUGAAUAUUUUAUUUUAUUUUAUUGGAAGUGUUUUUGGGAGGGAAAUGAUAGCACCAGUGACACGUGUCAUUCUUGGUGUCUGUUUUAGUAUUAUGUAAUUGAUUGAUAGGUGUCGUUUGAAUUGGGUCUAUCUUAACGUGUGAGAAUAUGCUCGACAAUCAUAGGAAUUAGGAAUUGACUAAUAUAUGAUAGAGACAAAAAAAACAAGGCAUUGGUAACACAUUUGUAAGGAACUUGUAAAUCAUUCACAUAUGGAAUAUUUAAGGUAACCAUGAAAAGGGACAAACCCCAUAUAUCUCAUCUCUGACGAACGGAAACACCCAACUACCCCUCCCCCACCCCCGAAACCCUAGCCGCUAGGGUUUCAAGGGUGAUGAGAGGGGUGGUUUUGUGUUUCCGGCCGUCGGAGAGGAGUUAUAUGGGGUUUUUUGAAUGAGGGAGGGGUUACAAGGAGGGUUGCAAUGGUUAGGGGAAGGGAGAGGGGGGUUUGGGCGCCGGGGGGCAAGGGCCGGGGUCAGCUUGCACGUGGGUGGAGGGGGGUGGCUAAGUGGGAAAGGGUGGUUGUCAUUUUUAAUUUUUUUCAAUUUUUUAAAGUUUUUUCUGGACUAGUCACGUGUUGACACGUGUCUUGAUAACCUGUAAUAAUGGUUGUAAACCGGUUGGGACUACUAGAGGCAACAUGAUAGGAAAGUUAGGAAGGUAACCUGUUACACCACCUCUCUUGUCUUUCAGUUUGCUGAAGCUAGUUGGGCAAAAAGGUUAAAGGAUUAGGUUGAGGAGAUUAGGUUAAAGGAGGAAGAGAAUAGGAGGAAGGUAGAUCAAGCAGAAGCUAAGGAGCAGCUUAGAGAACAAGUGCCAUUUACUAUAACAGUUGAGGUUCCAAUUUUGAAUGCAGAAGAUUUAGGGGUUGAAUAAUAUGUAAGGGUAUUUAACACUGAUGUAGUUGAUGAGGUUUUUCCAAGACAUUUACAGCCUGAGCCUUCCUAAAAUCAAUCACCACCACAUUAACCCCAUUCACCUCCACCAAAUCAAGCUUUACAGUCCUCAAAUGAACCAAAGCAGACACCAAAACAAAAUAAAAAAAAUUGUUAGGAGGAAAAAAAAUAACUCCCUAAAGGGAAAAAUCAGCAACACCACAACAAACACCAAUUCAUGACCCUUCUCCACCAGCAACACCACCACAUCAACCAUCAACAAACAACCCAAACAAGCAGCCUACACCACCACCAUCUCCACCAAGAGACCCCACACCACCAACAUGUCCACCAAGAGAGGCCUCACCACCACCAUUUCCACCUACACACCCCACACCACCACUAUCUCCCCCUACACACCCUACACCACCACCAUCUCCACCUAGACAGCCUACACCACCAACUAGGUAGCCUAGUAGUUCAUCUGCUCAACCUAAAAGAACUACUAGGGAGAAGCUUAAAGAGUGGAGAGUUCCAAAAAGUACAACCAUAAAGAAGGGCACCUACAUUAAAAAGGGUCAAGCAGGGAGUAAACAGGGAAGUGAAAGGGUGAGAAGGCAUGUACUCCCUCUGUCCCUAUUUUUUUGCCCCAUUUGACUGUGCACGGUCUCCAAGACGUCUAUUAAAACGUCUAUAUCUUUAUUUCCAUACACGUAAAAGUUACAAAAACGUCAUAUUAAUAAAAUAUAGACGAAUUUAACGCGGCCUAAAUUUUCUUUUAUAGAUUAACGGUAUUUUAUGGUCAAAGGUUUCAAAGUUUGACCCCAAAAAUGAUAAUGGGGCAAAUAUAAAGGGACGGAGGGAGUAGAAGUUAGGGAAGAUGAUGGUGAUGAUGAUUUCACUGAAAAUGAUGACAGUGAUGAUGAAGAUUAUGAGCAGUCUGAUGUAGAUGAAGAUGAUGAUUGUGUAAGUGAUCUUGAUUUUAUUGAAGAAGAGGAUUUUGUAGAGUAUGAUGAUGUGUAGGAGAAAAAAUUUUGAAGAUUAUUUGGAUGGGAGUCAUAAGUUUGAUAAGUUGUACAACAAUGGUAAAAUCUGGAGCCACUCACCACUUGGGUCUGAUGCAUUAGAGAAAUGGUUGAUUAUUGAGAACAAAAUCGAGUUUCUACAAGUGUUUAGAGAUUUCUACAUUCAAGAGGGCUUUGCUGUGACCAGGCACAGGGCCCCCGAAAUUUUAAGGGCCCAAAAUUUCGGAGCCCAUAUUAAAAAAAUAAUAAAAUUCUAUCUCUUUCUCCGCCUAUCUCUUUGCCGUCAAACAACUCCAUUAAUGCUCUGGUUUUCACAACAAAACAGUCUAGAUUCAUGCUCCCUUCAUUUAUGUUCCCAAGUUUGUAAUUCCUCUAAUUACUCCAUUAAUUCCGCAUCUCUAAUAAUACAAAUUUGUAAAAAUUUUCAUAUUUCAUUUACCUGUCACACCGUAUUACUUUCUUGUUUUGCCAGUAUUUCCUUAAAACUCUCACCUUCCAAGAUGCCUCCUAAUAAUUACUUUCCCUCAUCCCAUUAAUCUUGCAAUUCCAAGAAGUGCAAUAGUUUCUAAUCUUCAAUCUUCCUCUAAAAUUUUCCUUAAAUUCCUUAAAUACUUUAUUACUUUCUAAUCUUCAAUCUUCCUCUAAAAUUUUCCUACUUUCUCAUUUAAUUUUUUGUUUUUCCCCCAAAUUUUAAAUUUUCCAAAUUAAAUGUUAUACCUUCUAUCAACUACAACGGGUAUGAAGAAAUUGAUUUCAAUGGGGAAAUUAAGUUCGUUUUUUCCACAAUUAAACCCCUUAAUUUUAGUUUAUCAAACAACUAAUUUUUUUGCCCUCUAUAAAUUUUGUUUCAAUCUCCUAUCUUUUUCAGAUUUGAGAAUUAAAAAAAAAUUAAAUUUUAUAGUGAUAAUAAUAAAUUGGGUAUAAGGGUUAAGUGGUUAAGUAGUUAACAAGAACUCAAGAAGAGCAAAGGAAAGAGGCAAAUUGUCAAUUGUCAUGGUCCCUCAUGGAGUUCCGGCAAGGCGCAAUUAAUCAAUUAUAGAGGUCAUUCAAAGACGGCCCAUUUAAAAGAGUUGCCGCAAGCCAGGUUGUUUCAAUCCUUUUCUAUUUUUUGCAUUUUUAUUUAUUAGAUUAAAUUGCAUAAUUUGUUGUUUUUUGUAAUUUUGUUAAUUGUUUGACUAUUUGUUUAAUUACUACAUAUUAUUGCAAUUUUUAUUUUAUUUUUAGAUUUUAAUUAUGCCUCCUAAAAGAAAGUAUCUGUCCGGUUAUGAUAAACGUAUGAAAAAGAAAAAAUUGGAAGAGUUAACUCAAUCUCAAAGCGGGGCUCUUGACAAAUUUUUAUUAAAAGAACCGCAAAUUGUAGAUGAAAAUCCAAAUGUUGUUGAUGUUAAUGCUGAAAUUUUUGAAAAAAUGGCUGUUAAUGAAAAUAUUAAUUCGGAUAAUCAAAGUGUUGAUGUUAAUGUGCCUGCCUCUGAUAAUAAAAAUGUGGAUGAUAUUAUAAUAUAUAGUAGUUUGAGUAUGUGUUUCGUUUAAAAAUGUUGUUAUAAUAUUAUAAUAUAUAGUCAUAGAGAUAAUUUCGGCAUUUUUUUUAUUAGGGCCCAAUUUCAAAGUUUAGAACAGGGCCCCCAAAAUGAUUAAGACGGCCCUGGCUGUGACUGUAGAAAGAGCUGAUAGUGAGAGGUAUACAACCAGUUGUGUAGUGGAGUAGUCAUGCAAUUGGAAGAUACAUGCAACUAUGUUAAAAGACAAUGUCAGCUGGGCUAUCAAGGCAUUACCUGGUCAACACAGCACUUGUGGCAGACUAGAAGAAAAUCCCAUGGUGUCUUCAGAGUGAUUAUGCAGGCACCUUUUGCAAAAGCAAUGUAUGGAGACGGAGAGGUAUAGGAUAAAUGUGAAGCCAAGGUUAUUUUACAAGGUUAAGAGAAUAACUAGGGAACAGAUACAUGGUGGAGUCAUAUGGUUUGUUCCCAAGUUAUGCUAAGAUGAUUAAGGCUACAAACCCUGGAACAUGGACAAAUCAAGUUCUUCAGUUCAAAGCCUGUUUCUUCUCAUUUGUUGCUUUUGUCAAAGGGUUUUGGAAUGAUGUAGGCCUAUCAUUAGGAUAGAUGGUGCACGUCUAAGUGGUUAUUACGAGGGUAUAAUGUUGACUACUGUUGGCAUUGAUGGCAAUAAUGAAAUUUUUGUAAUUGCAUAUGGUAUUGUGGAUACUGAAAGCAUAGACAGUUGGAGCUAUUUUUUUUUAGAAAUUUAAGGAUAUUGUUUGCAAAUGAGAGCUGCAAGAAGGAUGAUUAGACAUUCAUAAUUGAUAGAAUGAAGGUUCUGCAGGGAGUUGAAUCAGCAUUGUAUGAGGUCUUUCCUAGAGCUACAAGAAGGGUUUGCUGCCAGCAUAUGUACUCCAAUUGCAAGAAUACAGGUUGGAGUAGAACAACAUUUCACAAGUCGUUCCGGAUUGCAGUUAAUGCUUACAAUGAUUAUGUGUUUGACACACUAUGUCAAAAAUCAAAGAGCAUAAUGCAGGCACAAAUUUGACAACAAAGUUUGAUGUGAUCAUAAUACAACAAACUUGUCCUGACAUUAUUAGAAGCUGUGAGAUCAUGGACAUGAAAAGGGUGGGAUCAAGAUUUGACAAGGCUAUUGACAUGGACCCUAAUGAACUAGCUAAGCAUGCACAACACAUUUUGAAGACUAGGAGUGAUGAUUCUAGAUUUUGUCUUGUAAUUGCAUGUGGAGGUGGGGAGUUUGAAGUGAAAGAUGAGCAUGUUAAAUUCCCUGUCACACUAAGUACUAUGAUUUGUGGUUGAGGCAAGUGUAGGGAUCUGGUAUACCAUUGUUACACCCAAAAAUUAUAUUUUUGACUUUUCUUGACUUUUCCUUGACUUUGACCAAUUUGACCGAGUCGAAUGGACUUUAGAGUCUGUAAAAGGUUUUGGGUCAGUCGAUGAUAACAAUUAAAGAUGGCUGGAGUUAGUCAAAGGCCCAAUAUGAAGAAAGGACCGGUUUGGAGGCAUAGUAGACAAUUUGAUUUUUUAAAGAGAGUUAGGCGCCAAGAAGAAUAACUACAAAACAAUUAUGGGAGUCAGCUAUAACCGUUCUAAUUUGUAUAUAAAUAGAGGCAGGGGGCCCGUUUGAAGGACAUCAGCAAAUCUAUCAACAAGCAUUUCAUAUUCCUUAAGCUUUCUUUUUAACUGUCUUAGUUUUCCCUUGGCUUGGUAGCCAAACGAUAACGUAGUUUUCCAUAACAUGUAUUGAAGAUCGAUAUCUUUUCUUGAACAUAGAGGUAACCUUCCUUCAACUUGUACAAUUAUGGACCUGGCUUUAUCCUUUAAUUAAUGGAGAACAUUUGUAUCUUUUGUCA